rnacentral:rRNA from 1 species
UACGUAGGGGCCGAGCGUUGUCCGGAGUUACUGGGCGUAAAGCGCGCGCAGGCGCCACGCGCGCCCGGCGUGAAAGCCCCCGGCUCAACCGGGGAGGGUCGUCGGGGACGGCGUGGCUUGAGGGCGGUAGGGGCCGGUGGAAUCCCUGGUGUAGUAGGUGAAAUGCGUAGAGAUCAGGGGGAACACCCGUGGCGAAGGCGGCCGGCUGGGCCGACCCUGACGCUGAGGCGCGAAGGCGUGGGGAGCGAACAGG